rnacentral:rRNA from 1 species
UUUUCCACCUAGUGGCAAACGGGUGAGUAACACGUGGGUUACCUGCCUCUAAGAUUGGGAUAACAGUUAGAAAUGAUUGCUAAUACCGGAUGUGUUUCCUUGCGAAAUAAAGGAGCUAUUAAGCUCCGCUUAGGGAUGGGCCUGCGCCCGAUUAGCUAGUUGGUAGGGUAACUGCCUACCAAGGCAACGAUCGGUAGCCGAACCGAGAGGUUGAUCGGCCACACUGGGACUGAGACACGGCCCAGACUCCUACGGGAGACAGCAGUUAGGGAUAUUCGUCAAUGGGGGAAACCCUGAACGAGCGAUGCCGCGUGAACGAUGACGGUCCUUUGGAUUGUAAAGUUCUGUUGUUUGGAAAGAAUGAUGAGAAUAGGAAAUGAUUUUCAUUUGACGGUACCAUUCAAGAAAGCUCCGGCUAACUACGUGCCAGCAGCCGCGGUAAUACGUAGGGAGCGAGCGUUACCCGGAUUUAUUGGGCGUAAAGCGUGCGUAGACGGCUUAUUAAGUCUAAAAUCAAAGCUCGGAGCUUAACUCCGGUUCGUUUUAGAUACUGAUUAGCUUGAGUAUAGUAGAGGCAAAUGGAAUUUCUAGUGUAGCGGUAAAAUGCGUAGAUAUUAGAAAGGAACACCAGUGGCGAAAGCGAUUUGCUGGGCUAUUACUGACGUUGAGGUACGAAAGCGUGGGGAGCAAAUAGGAUUAGAUACCCUAGUAGUCCACGCCGUAACGAUGAUCACUAAGUGUCGGGUAACGGGUGCUGAGUUACACAUUAAGUGAUCCGCCUGAGUAGUACG